rnacentral:lncRNA from 1 species
GCCAGGGGAGGUAUUUAUAGCCUUCACUUGUUGUUAUUGGGCCUCGUGGGCUCGUACGGUCAGCCCCGUUCGUCCACUCGUCCACCCGCCCGUCCGUCCGCCUGGGCCGUCCGGUCCGGUUCGGUCCAUGGGCCGCGGUCCGCGGUCCAUGGUACCAACAGCUCUCACUUGCACUCCAGGUGGUUGGUGGUUGUCUUUAGUCAUUCAUGAGAGAAUUGUGUGAAUACUUGGGGAAAUUGGAUGUCAUGCGUUUUAUGUUUUGAUGGGUUGUUGACUGGCUUCUGCAAGAGAAUGAAGAAAAAACUGUGUGGAAUAUCAAGAUGGAAAGAUCAAGA